rnacentral:rRNA from 1 species
CAUGGUUAAGUGGGAAACGAUGUGGGAAGGCCCAGACAGCCAGGAUGUUGGCUUAGAAGCAGCCAUCAUUUAAAGAAAGCGUAAUAGCUCACUGGUCGAGUCGGCCUGCGCGGAAGAUGUAACGGGGCUAAACCAUGCACCGAAGCUGCGGCAGCGACGCUUAUGCGUUGUUGGGUAGGGGAGCGUUCUGUAAGCCUGUGAAGGUGUGCUGUGAGGUAUGCUGGAGGUAUCAGAAGUGCGAAUGCUGACAUAAGUAACGAUAAAGCGGGUGAAAAGCCCGCUCGCCGGAAGACCAAGGGUUCCUGUCCAACGUUAAUCGGGGCAGGGUGAGUCGACCCCUAAGGCGAGGCCGAAAGGCGUAGUCGAUGGGAAACAGGUUAAUAUUCCUGUACUUGGUGUUACUGCGAAGGGGGGACGGAGAAGGCUAUGUUGGCCGGGCGACGGUUGUCCCGGUUUAAGCGUGUAGGCUGGUUUUCCAGGCAAAUCCGGAAAAUCAAGGCCGAGGCGUGAUGACGAGGCACUACGGUGCUGAAGCAACAAAUGCCCUGCUUCCAGGAAAAGCCUCUAAGCAUCAGGUAACAUCAAAUCGUACCCCAAACCGACACAGGUGGUCAGGUAGAGAAUACCAAGGCGCUUGAGAGAACUCGGGUGAAGGAACUAGGCAAAAUGGUGCCGUAACUUCGGGAGAAGGCACGCUGAUACGUAGGUGAAGCGACUUGCUCGUGGAGCUGAAAUCAGUCGAAGAUACCAGCUGGCUGCAACUGUUUAUUAAAAACACAGCACUGUGCAAACACGAAAGUGGACGUAUACGGUGUGACGCCUGCCCGGUGCCGGAAGGUUAAUUGAUGGGGUUAGCGCAAGCGAAGCUCUUGAUCGAAGCCCCGGUAAACGGCGGCCGUAACUAUAACGGUCCUAAGGUAGCGAAAUUCCUUGUCGGGUAAGUUCCGACCUGCACGAAUGGCGUAAUGAUGGCCAGGCUGUCUCCACCCGAGACUCAGUGAAAUUGAACUCGCUGUGAAGAUGCAGUGUACCCGCGGCAAGACGGAAAGACCCCGUGAACCUUUACUAUAGCUUGACACUGAACAUUGAGCCUUGAUGUGUAGGAUAGGUGGGAGGCUUUGAAGUGUGGACGCCAGUCUGCAUGGAGCCGACCUUGAAAUACCACCCUUUAAUGUUUGAUGUUCUAACGUGGACCCGUGAUCCGGGUUGCGGACAGUGUCUGGUGGGUAGUUUGACUGGGGCGGUCUCCUCCUAAAGAGUAACGGAGGAGCACGAAGGUUGGCUAAUCCUGGUCGGACAUCAGGAGGUUAGUGCAAUGGCAUAAGCCAGCUUGACUGCGAGCGUGACGGCGCGAGCAGGUGCGAAAGCAGGUCAUAGUGAUCCGGUGGUUCUGAAUGGAAGGGCCAUCGCUCAACGGAUAAAAGGUACUCCGGGGAUAACAGGCUGAUACCGCCCAAGAGUUCAUAUCGACGGCGGUGUUUGGCACCUCGAUGUCGGCUCAUCACAUCCUGGGGCUGAAGUAGGUCCCAAGGGUAUGGCUGUUCGCCAUUUAAAGUGGUACGCGAGCUGGGUUUAGAACGUCGUGAGACAGUUCGGUCCCUAUCUGCCGUGGGCGCUGGAGAACUGAGGGGGGCUGCUCCUAGUACGAGAGGACCGGAGUGGACGCAUCACUGGUGUUCGGGUUGUCAUGCCAAUGGCACUGCCCGGUAGCUAAAUGCGGAAGAGAUAAGUGCUGAAAGCAUCUAAGCACGAAACUUGCCCCGAGAUGAGUUCUCCCUGACCCUUUAAGGGUCCUGAAGGAACGUUGAAGACGACGACGUUGAUAGGCCGGG